UAAAAAAUGCAGAACAUAAAAUUUACCAUCUUAACCAUUUCUAAGUGUACAUUUCAGUAGUGUUAAAUAUAUUCUUUUUGUUGUGCAG